rnacentral:rRNA from 1 species
CUUUUAUUGAAGCUUCGGCAGAUUUAGCUGGUUUCUAGUGGCGGACGGGUGUGUAACGCGUGGGUAACCUGCCUUAUACAGGGGGAUAACAGUCAGAAAUGACUGCUAAUACCGCAUAAGCGCACAGAGCUGCAUGGCUCGGUGUGAAAAACUCCGGUGGUAUAAGAUGGACCCGCGUUGGAUUAGCUAGUUGGUGAGGUAACGGCCCACCAAGGCGACGAUCCAUAGCCGGCCUGAGAGGGUGAACGGCCACAUUGGGACUGAGACACGGCCCAGACUCCUACGGGAGGCAGCAGUGGGGAAUAUUGCACAAUGGGGGAAACCCUGAUGCAGCGACGCCGCGUGAAGGAAGAGGUAUCUCGGUAUGUAAACUUCUAUCAGCAGGGAAGAAUUAGGACGGUACCUGACUAAGAAGCCCCGGCUAACUACGUGCCAGCAGCCGCGGUAAUACGUAGGGGGCAAGCGUUAUCCGGAUUUACUGGGUGUAAAGGGAGCGUAGACGGAUGGACAAGUCUGAUGUGAAAGGCUGGGGCUCAACCCCGGGACUGCAUUGGAAACUGCCCGUCUUGAGUGCCGGAGAGGUAAGCGGAAUUCCUAGUGUAGCGGUGAAAUGCGUAGAUAUUAGGAGGAACACCAGUGGCGAAGGCGGCUUACUGGAC